rnacentral:rRNA from 1 species
UACGGAGGGGGCUAGCGUUGUUCGGAAUUACUGGGCGUAAAGCGCACGUAGGCGGCUUUGUAAGUUAGAGGUGAAAGCCCGGGGCUCAACUCCGGAAUUGCCUUUAAGACUGCAUCGCUAGAAUUGUGGAGAGGUAAGUGGAAUUCCGAGUGUAGAGGUGAAAUUCGUAGAUAUCGGGAGGAACACCAGUGGCGUAAGCGAUCACCUGGGCUAGACCUGACGCUGAGGGACGAAGGCGUGGGGAGCAAACCGG